GCUGCAAACUCUGCCGGAAUUGGAUCUUCCGCCCUACGCCGUCGCGUUGCCCUAUGCCGCCGCGCUGCCCUACGCCGUCGCCGCCGCCGCAUUGCGUUCGCGGCACCGCUAGGGUUAGGAAUAGGGUUUUGAGAGAGGAGAGCUUUUUUUUUUAUGAGAGAGGGAUAGAUCGUAUACAGGGAGAGAGGAGGGUGAGAUGGUCGCGUGGGCCUUGGGUACCUAAUGGGCUUCGGGACUGAAAUCUCAAUCCAGGCUUGAAGAUCAGAAUCAAUUUGAAGGCUAAUGGGCCAUUCCCAUUCCAAUCCGGAAUAGGAAUCUCAAACCGAUUCCUGUGAACCAAACAAAAUUAACCGGAUUUGAUCAAACCGAUUCCCAUUCCAAAUCCAAAAUGGAUGAACUAAACAAACCCUUAGUAUUAAUAUAUGAAUUAAUUUAGUCUGUACAAUUCUAUUAUAAGAAUAAAUUUGAAUUAUACCUUAUAUUCCUAAUCAAUUACCCACAUUCAAAUUUUUUUAAAUA
rnacentral:lncRNA from 1 species